UAAUAUAAAUUAUUUCCUUAAAAUAAUUUCAUUUAUUCCUCGAGACUUAAAAUGUUUGUUAGUUGCUAAGGAUUCGGGAUUAAUCGGCCUUUAUUAUUCAGUUGAACUGGUUCUCGUUUUAUUAAUACAGUACUGAUGUGCAUGUUCAGCGAGCCGAGAACACAGCCAGUUGUUCGAUAUAAAAGCAAAAGCCCGUGCAGAUUUCUCACAUUGCGUCUGAAAGGGCGAAUAGACCGUUAUUAUACACUGACAGAAUCUACAGUUCUUCUACAUGUCGUUCAGUAAAGAUAAACUUAAAGUAAUCUUAAAUUGAGAUGCCGCAUGAACGUGUUAGACCUAAACGACAAGGCCGGGAAAGGAAGGACGAAGGUCACAGGCAAAAUGUAAGAGCAAAAUCGUCAACAACAGGAAUAUCACCAUAGGACGAGAGGAGAGAAACAAAAGGCCGGCCAGGAACGAGGUGCGGAAUCAGAUACCUCCACAUGACCUUGGAGCACGAGGGACCGGUAAUUGUGCAAACGAUAUCGAGAAGGAAGAAACAGACAGUUACAAGAUAAUGCUGGGUACAGAUUUCUUAUAUGGCGUUUAUUGAAGAUGUCAGUGAGCUGUUAGUGCAACGUACACUGUGAAGUCUCCGAUAUCCCAAUUAUAAUCAUACUCAAAGAAGUUACGAAUGAAUGUUCUGUGAUAGAAGCCAAGUCGAAGGAACUUCAAAGUACCGUAGAUAGAUAAUUCCUGGAAAUUAACUUUUGGAUAGUUCCCGAUUUAUGGAAUUCAGGUGUAUUGUGUUGAUAAAUAACAGCAUUCGUUAGAAUGUUUUUAACUGGAGCUGUCUGCUUUUUUAGGAUAUCGGAAAUUAAAUUAAUGUUUAAGACAUUUUCUGUAAAAGAAUAUAUAGGAAAGAAAUUACAUGAACUUGUGUAUUACUUUAGCUUAGGUAUUUUCAUUUAUAUCUUAGCUUCUAGAUAAAAGAUAAGGCUCACUGGCAGUUAUUUAUGUGUUUUGUAAUUUUUAUGAAUCGGUAAUUAUACCUUAAAUGUUAGGACUGUCGCUCAAAUAAUGUUGAAUUGAGGGGAUCAGGCGAGAUAUCGAGUUAAUUAGAUUGCUAAACAAUAACCGGUUGGGUGUUUGUUUUGUGGCGAUUUAUACGGUAGACGCCGAACUAGAGAUAUAUCUAUGCGUUUGGUGUGAUGAAUUUUAUUCGGAACAGUUCAGUGUAAUUUGCGUUGUCGUCUGUCAGUUAUGGACACGGUCCGCUCAGUUUGGUGAAGCUAUGUUUGCCUUUAUCGGGCCUAUCACAAGGGCAUUAUUGUCUUAAACAGUGCACCAAAGGUUUUUCAUUGCAAAAGAUGCACCUUGCUAUUUAAGGUUGGUUGACCUGAAGUUGCUUCGGGUCACUAGGAUUUCGUCCUUAUAGUACUGGCGAGUCCUAGAUUGCAUUGCGUUGCGUUGCGUUGCUUGCUUGUGAAGUGGUUGUAGUGCACCACUAUAGGUUCUGGUGAUGCCUAGGUUGCUUUGCUUUUUUGCGUAGUGAAGCUUCUAUAGUGAAUAAUUACAGUAUUGGCGAAACCUAGGUUGUGUCUGUAAUGUAUCACUAUGGUACUGGUGAGGCCCAAGUUGCAUCCGUUGUCCGUAGUGCUUCACUAUAGUGUUGGUAAUGCCUAUGUUGCGUUGUUUCUUGCGAUAUGAAGUGUCUGUAAUGCAUCACAAUGGUACUGGUGAGGCCCUGGUUGCAUUCCGUUGUCUGUAAUGCUUCACUAUAAUGUUGUGUGGUGCCUAUGUUGCGUUGCUUCUUGCAAGGUGAAGUGUGUCUGGGGUGCAUCAGUUGGUGUUUUGUGUGGUAGGCCCGGUCAGUCCGUAUUUUAGUUUUACUAGCUGAAGAAUUGGGCUGUCUCAUGAAUAUUUAACGCGUGCCGUUUUCGUGGACAAUAAUGCCAAUAUUGUCGUUCUUGUUUUAGCACAGACAUAUAUCAGACAGCUUUCUAGCACUGAGUGUUUGGUAGCAGCUCUUGACUUGCUUCGUGGCAUCGUUUUGGUGCGGAGCCGUGGUGAGCUGAGGUCUGCUGUCAUACAUUCGGGUGUGGUCCGUGUGCUGGGUGCCGUCUGCGGUUUUUAGGGGUCAUCGCAUCGCGUGUUGUCUCAUGCUUGCGCCUGGUCUCCUCUCGCUUGAAGAUAGAGCGGCCAAAAACAUGCCAACUUAACUUUUCAAUGUUUUUCUCAGAUCUAUUGAUGCAUUUACCUUAGCAGAUGUAGAAUAUAUUAAUUUAGAAAUCAAGUAUUUUAAGUCAUUUGUUCGUCAUAAUGUGUUAUAUGAUCUUAAAACAUUUAACAGUAUAACAAUGAGAUAAAUAAAAGACAAAGAAUGGUA